rnacentral:lncRNA from 10 species
UCGCAAAGUGCUGAGAUUACAGGCGUGAGCCACCACACCUGGCCCUCCCCUACACAUUUCUAAGUAUCUUACCUGAUUUUCUAUGGCACCUUUGGGUUGCAGAACCUUAGCUGUAGGAGAAAUGGUGGUGACGGCCAAUGUCUGGCACUGACUUUAACAGAGUACAGAUGUGUAUGUAAAUAGUACUUAUUUUAACAAAAUAGAAAGUUCAAGAAAGAAAUACAGCAACAAAAGUGACAAUUAGAUUGGAAGAGACCCAUUCUUGUUUGCUUGUUUUCUCCAUAAGCCAUCUAGCUUUUUUUUUUUUUUUUGUGAGACGGUCUCACUGUCUCCCAGGCUGGAGUGCAGUGGUGCCAUCACAGCUCACCUCAGCCUUGACCUCCCAGGCUCAAGUGAUCCUCCCACCUUAGCCUCUCAAGUAGCUGGAAGUAUAGGCAUGUACCACCAUGCCCAGCUAAUUUUUUUUUAUUUUUCAUGGAGACAGGGUCUCACUAUAUUGCCCAAGCCAGUCUUGAAUUCCUGGGCUGAAGCGAUCCUCCUGCCUCAGCCUCCCAAAAUGUUGGGAUUAUAGUCAUGAGCUACCAUGCCCAGCCCUAACUCCAUUCUUAAUUGUCACUUAGCCUACACUUUCACUUCAUUGACAUUUAUAGGCUGACAACAAGCAGAUGAAGAUACCAUUGAAACAGUGCCACCACUCACCCAACUGUCCUGUCAGUCAGGAAAAGCACAUCCCCACUGGGUCUCAGAGCUCUCGGCCCGUUGUCUUUGCACUGUGUGACCACACACAAAACCAGGUAAAGUAUUUACCUGCUUUGUUCAGGAGGCUGUCCUUGGCUCUCUAGUUUCUGAUAGGACCCCAUUUUAAACUCUCAAGCCCCCUUGUCCUUGUUCUUUGAUAGUGUCAUAGCCUCUAAACAUAUCACAAUUAUUAAUAUAAUUAAAUACUUAUUUCCCUAUAGAUUUGUUUAAAGCCUGCCUUCCCCCAAGAGAUGGUCAGGUCUGAAGGCAGGUUUGUUACAGAUGACAGGCUCUUGGGCUCAUCAUGUAAUAAAAGUUAACAUGGGGACAAGCAGAUUUCCAGAAAAGGCUUUUAUCUUGGGGCUUGUGCUCGAGUGCAGGGGAGACACCAGAGGUACAAGGACCCUCAAGCUGACUCCCUGAAAAGGUGGUAGGGAUUUUUUUUAUUAGGCAAACACAGGAAUUGGUAUCAUGGGUAGGGUAUGCAGGCUGGCCUGGGCAAAGCACGUGACGGGUAGGGGAUGCUGGUUAGCGUAUCUAGUUGUGAUGGUUAUCUUGAGUAAUGGGCCACCUGGGGGUCUGGCCAGCUGUAACAAGGCUGCAAAUCAAUUGUUCAGGGUUCCUUCCCUUCCCAUGAUGGGACAUUCUGAAACCUCGGUUUGAUGUUUAGAUUUCCUAAGGCCAGUUCCUGGAAUUCUUUUAAGUAAAAGGCAUGAUUAAACAUUAUGAGAGCACAGAAGAAUGGCUAUUUUCUUUGUAAGCCUGAAGCCUUAUCUAAAACCAAUUGUCAGCAAGGCAGGGGUGUGGGUCUUGUGAUCAGUGAGACAAGAAGAAAAAAAAAAACGUGAAAAAGGAACUGAGUUCCUUUUCUAUUCUAUCUGAGGUUACUCCCCACUGCACCCCCGGCACCUGACAUUGUGAGAGGCAUUUGAACCAGAGUGACUCCAUCUUGAAUAGGGGCUGGGUAAAAUGAAUCUGAGACCUACUGGGCUGCAUUCCCAGGAGGUUAGGCAUUCUUAGUCACAGGAUGAGAUAGGAGGUUGGCAGGACUGGUAUCACAAGAUACAGGUCAUAAAAACUCUGACCAUAAAACAAGAUGUGGUAUAGAAGCCAGCCAAAACCAAGAUGGUGAGAAAAGUGACCUCUAGUCAUCCUCACUGCUCAUUAUACUCAAAUUAUAAUGCAUUAGCAUGCUUAAAGAAAUUUCCACUAGCACCAUGACAGCUUACAAAUGCCAUGGCAGUGU